UCAAUUACGGGGGCUGGCUGCAGAAAUGUACGCUGCCCUGUCUGGACCCUUGUCUUUUGAGUACCAUUUGUUUCCUUGGCAGGCUCUUUGCCUGCCGAUAGGACAAUCUUAAACCUUUUGUAAUUGCAAUCAGCGUCAGUACAACUUAAUUGUUA
rnacentral:misc_RNA from 1 species